rnacentral:rRNA from 1 species
UACGUAGGUGUCGAGCGUUGUCCGGAUUUAUUGGGCGUAAAGCGCCCGCAGGCGGCUUGGCAAGUUCGAGGUGAAAUCUCCCGGCUCAACUGGGAGGGUGCCUCGGAAACUGCCAGGCUUGAGGCAGGGAGAGGGAUGUGGAAUUCCCGGUGUAGUGGUGAAAUGCGUAGAUAUCAAGUGGAACACCAGUGGCGAAGGCGAGUCCCUGGACAAUUCCUGACACUGAGGCACGAAAGCUAGGGGAGCAAACAGG